rnacentral:lncRNA from 1 species
GUGCCCGCUUAGCGUGUCCUUAGCGUGUCCCGCAUCGCUGCGGCACCCCCGUGUGCUGCUUGGUGUGGUCACGUGUCCUUAGCGUGUCCUGAGUGCGUCCGUGUGUCCUUAGUGUGUCUAUCUCCCUCCUUAGCGUGUCCCGGUGUGCACUUAGCGUGCCUCGUGUGUCCGUGUAUGUGCUUAGCGUGUCCUUACCGUGUCCAUGUGCCUGUUCAGCGCGUCUGGGUCUCCUUAGCGUGUGCAGCUGCUUGCUUAGCGUGUCCUUAGCGUGUCUGUAUGGCUACUUACUGUUUCUCGGUGCCUUUAGCGUGUCCCUCUGCCUGCUUAGCGUGUCGUUAGCGUGUCCAUGCGCCUGCUUAGCGUGUUCAGCUCUCCUUAGCGUGUCCAUCCACUUGCUUAGCGUGUGCUUAGCGUGUCCACGUGCCCACUUAGCGUGUCUGGGUCUCCUUAGCAUGUCCGCCUGCUUGCUUAGCGUGUCCGUGUGCCCGCUUACCAUGUCCGGGUCUGCUUAGCGUGUCCAUCCGCUUGCUUAGCGUGUCCUUAGCAUGCACACCUACUUCCUUAGUGUGUCCCUAGUGUGUCCGGGUCUCCUUAGCGUGUCCGCCUGCUUGCUUAGUGUGUCCUUAGCGUGUCUGGGUCUCCUUAGCAUGUCCGCCUGCUUGCUUAGCGUGUCGUUAGCGUGUCCGUGUGCCCGCUUACCAUGUCCGGGUCUGCUUAGCGUGUCCAUCCGCUUGCUUAGCGUGUCCUUAGCAUGCACACCUACUUCCUUAGUGUGUCCCUAGUGUGUCCGGGUCUCCUUAGCGUGUCCGCCUGCUUGCUUAGUGUGUCGUUAGCGUGUCCAUGCACUUGCUUAGCGUGUCCUUACGGUGUCCACGUGCCCGCUUAGCGCGUCUGGGUCUCCUUAGCGUGUCCAUGCGCUUGCUUAGCGUGUCCUUACCGUCUCCACGUGCCCGCUUAGCAUGUCUGCCCGCUUGCUUAGCGUGUCCUUAGUGUGUUUGG